rnacentral:rRNA from 1 species
GGACCCGCACAAGUAGUGGAGCAUGUGGUUUAAUUCGAAGAUACGCGCAGAACCUUACCAACACUUGACAUGUUCGUCGCGACUUUAAGAGAUUAAAGUUUUCGGUUCGGCCGGACGAAACACAGGUGCUGCAUGGCUGUCGUCAGCUCGUGUCGUGAGAUGUUGGGUUAAGUCCCGCAACGAGCGCAACCCUUACUUUUAGUUGCCAUCAUUUAGUUGGGCACUCUGGAAGAACUGCCAGUGAUAAGCUGGAGGAAGGUGGGGAUGACGUCAAGUCCUCAUGGCCCUUACGUGUUGGGCUACACACGUGCUACAAUGGUAUCUACAAUAGGAAGCAAGAUGGCGACAUCAAGCAAAUCCUAAAAAGAUGCCUCAGUUCGGAUUGUACUCUGCAACUCGAGUACAUGAAGCUGGAAUU